rnacentral:rRNA from 1 species
AUACGUAUGGGGCAAGCGUUAUCCGGAUUUAUUGGGCGUAAAGCGCGCGUAGGCGGCUUGUUAAGUCAGGUGUGAAAUCCGGGGGCUCAACCCGCGGCUUGCACCUGAAACUGGCAGGCUUGAGUCUGGUAGAGGAAAGUGGAAUUCCUGGUGUAGCGGUAAAAUGCGCAGAUAUCAGGAGGAACACCAGUGGCGAAGGCGGCUUUCUGGGCCACGACUGACGCUGAGGCGCGAAAGCUAGGGGAGCGAACAGGAUUAGAUACCCUGGCAGUCCUAGCCGUAAACGAUGGGCACUAGGUGUGGGGGGUCAUCGACUCCCUCCGUGCCGAAGCUAACGCAUUAAGUGCCCCGCCUGGGGAGUACGGCCGCAAGGCUAAAACUUAAAGGAAUUGACGGGG